rnacentral:ncRNA from 1 species
GUCCUGGUCGGUAACCAGGACGCGAUGGUAAGGAG